AACGUAGGACACAAGCGUUAUCCGGAAUUACUGGGCGUAAAGCGCCAGCAGGCGGUAGAGUAAGUCAAUGAUGAAAACGCACGGCUCAACCGGGCGCGGUUCAAUGAUACUGCUGUACUAGAGGGAGAUAGAGGCGAGUGGAAUUCCGCGUGUAGUGGUGAAAUGCGCAGAUAUCAGGAAGAACACCAAUGGCGAAAGCAGCUUUCUGGGACGGUACUGACGCUGAGACGCGAAAGCGUGGGGAGCGAACAGG
rnacentral:rRNA from 1 species